GAGGCCGAUUGGCCGAUGAGGCCGGCGCACGCCCCGAACAGCAGGCGCUCGGGGGGCGAGGGCUGCGCCUUCCCGCUGUGCUCUGGGGGGUAGAACUUGCAAUUAACACUCAAUUAAUGGGGAAAGCUGAAUUAAGGUGCAGGGUUUGUUAGUCAGGUGGUGCUCGCGAGGUUUUGUUCCACAGCGUUUGUUCCCUAAGAUUUUGUUUCCUGAGGUUUCGUUCCCCAGGUUUUGUUCCCCAGGUUUUGUUCACCAAGGUUUUGUUCACCAAGGUUUUGUUCCCUAGGUUUUAUUUCCCAGGUUCCUCUCCCAAGGUUUUGUUCACCAAUGUUUUGUUCCUCAGGUUUUGUUUCCCAAGGUUUUGUUCCCAAGGUUUUGCUCCCCAUGGUUUUGUUCCCAAGGUUUUGCUCCCCAUGGUUUUGUUCCCCAGGUUGAGCUACCAAGGUUUUGUCCCUGAGGUUUUGCUCCCCAGGUUUUGUUUCCCAGGUUCCUCUCCCAAGGUUUUGUUCCCCAGGGUUUGUUCCCCAAGAUUUUGUUCACCAAGGUUUUGUUCACCAAGGUUUUGUUCCCCAGGCUGUUCUCCUGAGGUUUUGUUUCCUGAGGUUUUGCUCCCUAGGUUUGGUUUCCCAGGUUCCUCUCCCAAGGUUUUGUUUCCCAAGAUGUUGUUCCCCAAGGUUUUGUUUCCCAGGUUGUUCUCCCAAGGUUUUGUUCACCAAGAUUUUGUCUCCUGAGGUUUUGUUCCCCAGGUUGUGUUCCCCAAGAUUUUGCUCACCAAGGUUUUGUUCACCAGGUU